UGUAAGCAGCAGGACUCACUGAACCAGCCUCACUGUCAGCGGCCAGUGUUAUCAGCACAAAUCUCAGCGUGGCAGGGCUGACUGCACUGGGACCACUCUGGAGCCCUGUUACACUAGUUGUACCUGGCAGGCCGUGUUGGCUCUGUGCAAAGAUAAAACAAAAAGUCCCUGGGCAACCUCAGGCUAUCUGUCUCGGCUGCACAUGCUGCCGGCUGCAACUUUGUAGUUUAUGUAAAAAUAGUUGUUUUCUGAAAUGAAAUGAAAGCAAGUGGAAGGGUAGCAAGCAGAGACCGCAGCUGAGAAUGAAUGUGAAACACAGAAGCCUGAGCUGAGAAUUCUGUUGGGAUUCUACAAGAGCAGAAAUCAAGACAGGAAGAUGAAGUGUCUCUAAGCCAGAAAGAGAAUAUGAAUUCACAGUAGAAUUAUGAGAGCAACCUUAAUAUGAUUGGUGAUUAAUGUAUACACAAGAGAAAUAUCUGUAACAGUAUCUCAAGCAGAAAGAGAUCUGCUAACCAUCUGCAAGAACUAAGAUGAAUUUUCAUCAGCUUCCAUUCAUUCACCUCCAGUGUGGCCUCAAGGAUCUUUCCCAAGUUAUUGGUGUUUAGGACAAGUGUCAAGCUCUGGUUGUUCCAAGAUGUGAUUGAAGAAAAUAUUGUGUUACCAUGACUCCUCAGCUGUGAAGUUCUUUAUUUUAUCUUAUGUACUCUAUUCUCACCUGAGCCCAGUGCAUUCUCAAAGUGCCAUUAGCAAUGAGAUUUUAAUGAGUGCCAUAAGGAAGAGAGCACUGCAGUCUUUAUGGAAGUUCAGAAUUCAUGAUGAUUAUGGAAAAGCACAACACAAGAUUUUUUUUUUCCAACAAUGAAAGGCAAGAAAGGAAAAAAAAAAGAAUGAAUAAAAUGUUUGGAUUUUCCGAUGUUAAA